GAGAAGCACUGAUGUCAAGCAUUGUCUUAUUUUAAGAUUGAAGAAAGGCUUUGGAUUCUUCUGCCUUAAUUUAAGGUGUGGUCUUAGCAAAAUCUGCAAUAGUAGUUUGAAGGUGGCUACAGGCUUUGUUAUCACUGUCUGCGUGGAGAGGUGUGGGUUCUUUCUCCACCAUUUAAUCUGGAUUCGUUCUACGAUGGCUUCAUCAAUAGAAUGCAGAGGAAGCGAUGCAUUAACGUGACUGGCAGUUUCUCCUUCCCCCCUCGUGGGCCCCGUGGCCACGUUCCGGGUUAGCCCAAGCAGAGAGAUCCGCGUGGGGAAGAGCUGAGGCCACUGGCCGACAGCCUUGGCUGAGCUCCCAGGCAGCAGUGAGCACCAACUUGCCAGCCACGUGAGUGAGCCUUCCUGGGACUGGAGCUGCCUCAGUUUACACAACGUGGAGCAGAGACAAGCUGUCCCUGCCCAGAUGGCAAAACCAGAUUGCUUUGAGAAUCGUCUUAAGAACCAGGGACUAAGCCUAUUUCUCUCUUUACUUGAAAGUGACGUAUCCCUGUGUCUGCAGCAUUCCAGGCCACAGGGUGAGGCUCGUCCACUGGCCUGGAACUCCAGGGGAGCCCGAGGGCCUGGGGUCCCUGGCUACAUUUUGGGACUUGUUGGUGCCCAACUGACCAAGAGCUUGAGAGCAAAUGCAUCCUAGCUGACAAAGAAAUAAAAAAAUCCCCUUUCUUCUGGUCCUUGUGUUCUCUUCCUUCCCUGAUCGAAGACACUGGGUACUAAAGCUUCAGGAGGGUAGAAGAAAGGUGGUAACGGGCUCAGAAACCUGGAAAUGCUGCAGCUGAUAUUCAAGAACAAGCUGUUGUGUGCAAGCACACCAGAUGUCCCAACAUCAGAAAGCGGAUGUCACAAAUCCAAGAAGAGCUGUAGCAGGAAAGAGCCAAUUGACAAGAUUUUUUCUUCUUUUUUCUAAUUAGCUGUAAUUUUCUGAUUUUCUGAUUAAUAGUAAAAAAUUCAGCACAGAAAGGGAUCAUACAUCUAAAGUAUCCAUAAUUACACCUAACAGAUUAUCGUUUAAAAUUUUGGAGUAUGCCCUUUGGAUAUUUUCUUUAUCUUCGCAGAGUUUCUGCUUAUAACAUGCCUUCCAUGAUCUUUUUUAAAUAAUAAACUAUU